CAUCGACCAGGGCUGACCAACACACACAUACACAGCGUUCUCUACCUGCCUCCGGUCUGUCUUCUUAAAAGGCCCUACCUGGUUCCCAGUGCCUUCCCCUUCUCUGAACUCAAAAUACUUCUGGAUGCAGACAUUUCACUUAGAAGUUUUGUGCUAUUCGCCUGGGAUCAUACAGCAUCUGCCUUGUUCUCUUUGACGGCUUCAGAAUACUUCAUUGCAAGUGUCCCCCAACUUUUGGAACCAGUCUUCUACUAAUGGAUAUUUAAGAUGUUUCUAAUCUUUGGCUAUUAAAUCAGUGAUGAAAAGACUAUCCUCUUAUCAUCUUUACAUAGGUAAAUAUAUCUAU
rnacentral:lncRNA from 13 species